CUGCUCAGUCCUCCUUGCCUGCCACCCGUGCACCCAGUCAGCUCAGCCAGCCUAGUCCAUCCAGUUUUCACUGCCUGCCGGCUGGCCCACCCCCCACCGCAGCCAUGGAUGCCAUCAAGAAGAUGAUGCAGAUGCUGAAGCUGGACAAGGAGAACGCCAUCGAUCGCGCCGAGCAGGCCGAAGCUGACAAGAAGCAAGCUGAGGAUCGCUGCAAGCAGCUGGAGGAGGAGCAGCAGGCCCUCCAGAAGAAGCUGAAGGGGACAGAGGAUGAAGUGAAAAAGUAUUCUGAAUCCGUGAAGGAGGCCCAGGAGAAACUGGAGCAGGCUGAGAAGAAGGCCACUGAUGCUGAGGCAGAUGUGGCCUCCCUGAACCGCCACAUUCAGCUGGUAGAGGAGGAGCUGGACCAGGCCCAGGAGUGCCUGGCUACAGCCCUGCAGAAGCUGGAGGAGGCUGAGAAGGCAGCUGAUGAGAGCAAGAGAGGAAUGAAGGUCAUCGAAAACCAGGCCAUGAAGGACGAGGAGGAGAUGGAGCUGCAGGAGAUGCAGCUGAAAGAGGCCAAGCACAUCACUGAGGAUUCAGACUACAAAUACGAGGAGGUGGCCAGGAAGCUGGUGAUCCUGGAAGGUGAGCUGGAGCGCUCAGAAGAGAGAGUUGAGGUGGCUGAGAGCCAAACCAGACAGCUGGAGGAGGAACUUCGAACCGUGAACCAGGCCCUCAAGUCCUUGAUGGCCUCAGAGGAGGAGUAUUCCACCAAAGAAGAUAAAAUGAAGAGGAGAUCAAACUAGUGGAGGAGAAGCUGAAAGAGGCUAAGACCCGAGCAGAGUUUGCUGAAAGGUCUGUGGCAAAGUUGGAGAAAACCAUCGAUGACCUAGAAGAGAUCUUGGCCAAUGCCAAGGAGGAGAAUGUCGAGAUUCACCAGACCUUGGACCAGACCCUGCUGGAACUCAACAACCUGUGAGGGCUGGCCCCACCCCCAGCCAGGCUAUGGUUGCUGCCCCAACCCAAUAAAACUGAUGUUACCAGCUUCAAAAAAAAAAAAAA